AUUUUUAAUGUAAUAUUUAACUUUUUCCUUUAAGUUCAAACGUCAGACGAUCAUAGCACUUAUGAGUCAGCCAAUCUGGUUGUUAGAGUGUCAUCUGCAUGUUGCUUGCAGCCACAAGGGGGCGUAUAAGCAUGCAAUCUGCUUCUUUAUCCACGACUCAGGAACAGAAAUAUUGUUUAAAUGUCAUUUACGACACUAAAAUGUGCACUUAAUGCAGCAUCGUGGCCCAGAAACCGCCGGGGGAAGGAAACAGAAAGUAAAAGCAUUAAAGUUUGAAUGAAUCCACCAUUUCAUCAUCAGAUCAAACGUAAUGUAGACUCAAACGCUGAACAGAGGAGUCAUCUUUCUUGUAAUGUCUCCCUCUGCUGGUGACGUUUAAAACGUGCCUUUUAGAGGGACGAAUACAAAUUUAUGUUCAUGUUAACACUGUAAAAAAAUAUAUGUUUUUGAAAUACAUAACAUUCAUUUUCCUUCCUCACAGUGUGAGGGGAGAAAAUACGUUAAACCUACCCUUAAAAAUAAGUUUAUUCAAGUAUACUAUGAGUAUACUUAUUUUAGACUAAAAAUGACGACGUAUUCUCGAGGUUUACUUUUUAUAAACUAUUUUAUAUACUUAAGAAUAGCACGGUGAAGUAUACUUAUACUGAAUGUUAUGCCUUGCACUUGCCAUGGUCCCGCCCCCUACCUGGCAGCCAAUGGGAGUCGCCUAAUUGGUGCCAUGUCAGGCCCCACCCCUAAAAGGUGACGUUGACUACUCAACACGGAAGGAGGAGGCAUAGCCGAGCUAACAAAUAUUUUUAAGCAUUAAGAUGCCACAAUGGCAUUUACAAUGUAUUAUUUCAAGGACAAUACUGUGGAGGUUGGGAAGAUUUCAUGGAUGAGUAUUGACGGCUAGCAACAAUGUGAUCUCUGUAAGAAGAGACAGGAGUUCAUAAAGGGUGACAACAUCUAGCAAGAAGGAACCAAUAUGAAGUGGAAGCCCAACAACAAGUGGAAAGAUGUAGAAGAGGAGGAUCAUGAAGUUCUACCAAAAAAGUAGACUAACUCUAAUGAGGAGCAGCCGCCCAGAAACACAGUAGAAAGUGAAAGCGCUUCAGAGAGAAACCAAGCCUGAAAGGAGACUGUGUGAAAGAUAUACUAGAUGCCAUGAGAGCCCAUGACAGGCCAAACUCCCAGACCCCCCAAGAUGUGAGAUGAAUCCUAAAGAAGACUCCAAUAAAAGUACAUGGUCUGUAGUAUACUUUUAAAGUAUACUUUUUUGUUAACUUAAAAUGUUCCAAUUUAGUUCCAAGAAGUGUUAAAUAGUAUACUUUGUAGUAUACUAAAAGUAUAUCAUCUUCUACUUUUACACUUAUAUUCAAGUAUACUUAUAUAUAUGUAUGGUGUUCAUCACCUUCGUUAUAAAGGCAAGGAUCCUUGCCAGCUGACUAGCUCCAUUGGUAGCACCACAGAUUCAUGGUGCAGGGGAGCGAGGUUCAAUACCCGGUCAGGGCAAGUGUAGGUCAUUUUGCCAUUUGUCCAGUUCCAACACCUAUCGCAGUCAUCACCUCCGUUAUAACAUCAUGAAUGUCUGCCAGCUGACUAGCUCCAUUGGUAGCACCGCAGAUUCAUGGUGCUGGAGUACUGUGUUCAAAUCCUAGUCGGUCCAAAAAAAACCAAAACAAAAAUGAUAGGGCGUUGCCUUCCCAGUCGGCACAAAAAGGGGUGUGUGUAACUUCCCCCCUCAACUUGAAAUUAUGCGGGAUCCCGCCUCCGGGGGGAUCCCGCCUCCAAAAUGAUCCCGCCUCUUGAGGGAUUGAUAAUUAAAUAUGUGCCUCCAACUGGAUGAAGUCAACAUAAAAUGAGAAGUAGGUGGAGUUAAGUGGGCGCAAACUCGUAUAGUGGGGGAUGGCCG